UGGGGAAUAUUGCACAAUGGGGGAAACCCUGAUGCAGCCAUGCCGCGUGUGUGAAGAAGGCCUUCGGGUUGUAAAGCACUUUCAGCGAGGAGGAAAGGUCAGUAGCUAAUAUCUGCUGACUGUGACGUUACUCGCAGAAGAAGCACCGGCUAACUCCGUGCCAGCAGCCGCGGUAAUACGGAGGGUGCAAGCGUUAAUCGGAAUUACUGGGCGUAAAGCGCACGCAGGCGGUUGGAUAAGUUAGAUGUGAAAGCCCCGGGCUCAACCUGGGAAUUGCAUUUAAAACUGUCCAGCUAGAGUCUUGUAGAGGGGGGUAGAAUUCCAGGUGUAGCGGUGAAAUGCGUAGAGAUCUGGAGGAAUACCGGUGGCGAAGGCGGCCCCCUGGACAAAGACUGACGCUCAGGUGCGAAAGCGUGGGGAGCAAACAGG
rnacentral:rRNA from 3 species